rnacentral:rRNA from 1 species
AACGAACGCUGGCGGCAUGCCUAACACAUGCAAGUCGAACGAGACCUUCGGGUCUAGUUGCGCACGGGUGCGUAACGCGUGGGAACCUGCCCUUAGGUUCGGAAUAACUCCCCGAAAGGGGUGCUAAUACCGGAUAAUGUCUUCGGACCAAAGAUUUAUCGCCUUUGGAUGGGCCCGCGUUGGAUUAGCUAGUUGGUAGUGUAAAAGCCUACCAAGGCGACGAUCCAUAGCUGGUCUGUGAGGAUGAUCAGCCACACUGGGACUGAGACACGGCCCAGACUCCUACGGGAGGCAGCAGUGGGGAAUAUUGGACAAUGGGCGAAAGCCUGAUCCAGCAAUGCCGCGUGAGUGAUGAAGGCCUUAGGGUUGUAAAGCUCUUUUACCCGGGAUGAUAAUGACAGUACCGGGAGAAUAAGCUCCGGCUAACUACGUG